rnacentral:rRNA from 1 species
UAAUGAAUUUUAGGACGUUCUUUUUAGAAGUCCGACCCUUUCAUUUUCUUACACUGUGCACACACUUCUUUUUUACACACACUUUUAACACAUUAGUAUAAGAAUGUAAUAGUCUCUUAAUUGAGCAUAAACAAAAAUAAAACUUUCAGCAACGGAUCUCUUGGCUCUCGCAUCGAUGAAGAACGCAGCGAAUUGCGAUAAGUAAUGUGAAUUGCAGAAUUCAGUGAAUCAUCGAAUCUUUGAACGCACCUUGCACUCUUUGGUAUUCCGAAGAGUAUGUCUGUUUGAGUGUCAUGAAACUCUCAACCCCCUUAUUUUGUAAUGAAAUGAGCGUGGGCUUGGAUUAUGGUUGUCUGUCGGCGUAAUUGCCGGCUCAACUGAAAUACACGAGCAACCCUAUUGAAAUAGACGGUUUGACUUGGCGUAAUAAUUAUUUCGCUAAGGACGUCUUCUUCAAAURUAAGAGGUGCUUCUAAUUCGCUAUYAAAGCAACUUAAGCUUUAGACCUCAAAUCAGU